rnacentral:rRNA from 1 species
AGCGAACGCUGGCGGCAGGCCUAACACAUACAAGUCGAACGAACCUUUCGGGGUUAGUGGCGGACGGGUGAGUAACACGUGGGAACGUGCCUUUAGGUUCGGAAUAACUCAGGGAAACUUGUGCCAAUACCGAAUGUGCCCUUCGGGGGAAAGAUUAAUCGCCUUUAGAGCGGCCCGCGUCUGAUUAGCUAGUUGGUUGAGGUAAUGGCUCACCAAGGCGACGAUCAGUAGCUGGUCUGAGAGGAUGAUCAGCCACAUUGGGACUGAGACACGGCCCAAACUCCUACGGGAGGCAGCAGUGGGGAAUCUUGCGCAAUGGGCGAAAGCCUGACGCAGCCAUGCCGCGUGAAUGAUGAAGGUCUUAGGAUUGUAAAAUUCUUUCACCGGGGACGAUAAUGACGGUACCCGGAGAAGAAGCCCCGGCUAACUUCGUG